CCUUGUGCAGCUGCUCUGCCUCUAGUGAGAUCUGUGUGGGCCCCCUGCCAUUGUGUAACCUCACGAACAGCUCAUGUCAGAUGUGUGACAUCAAGAAUGCUAAACAAGGCAACGAUGUUGAAGUGGUAAAUAAAGAGCAAAUGAAAGCCUACAGCAGAAGGAAAUCCAAUCAUAGCAUCUGGGAAAUAUCCUCUCCAUGGUCUUUUCUAAGGCCAGCAGCAGGAGUCAGGCACCUAUUUCCCAUUGCAAUUGAGGCACCAAUGGAAAUCCCAGUGGGCAUCUCAAUGGAAAUAAAAAGAGGAACCAAUAUGCUAACCCUAUGGCUGUUCUACAUCUUGAUUUUACUGAAAAUGUGUGUGUGUGCGCCAUGUAGAACUCAAGUAUUUUGCAGCAGUGCUUUGGGCAAAGCUCCCUGCCACAGGUAAGAGCUCCACCUGUGUAGAGCAGAAUGAAAAUAUACAGGUGUAUAUGCACAAAAGCACAGAGUUUCUAGGAAUAAAUAUUAUCUUCUAUUAGGCAAGUUAAUACUAGUUUAGAAGAAACCAGGUGAGCUUUCUGUGGAUAAGCCCAUGUAUCAGCUGCUGACCAUCAGUGUUGUAACAGCAUUAUGCAAUCACAGGAGAGAUGAAAAAAGAAGGUGAAAUAUUUUUACAAGGAACUGGUUAAGUCUGUAAUUUAAGUAGCUCUACAGCCCAGCUCUGUCAGGUAAGUGCCAGUCAGUGGCCCCUGAGGACAGCAACACAACAGUGAAUUCAAUAUUUAACGAAGAGCACCAACACGAGCCAAAUUCUUUCCUCAAUUAUGUAGAGACGGCUCUGGUCAUUUCACUGUAAGAGGAAAGUGGCAAACCAUUAAAAUUAAUAUUGAAUUCCUUUACAUCUAACCCUUGGGAAGAUAUUUGUAUGUAUAAGCUGUCCUUAGAAAAGAUUCUUUUUGUAAGAUCUCUUUUGGAGCUAAGGGUGUAUCGCACAGGCGAUGGCGCAGGUAAGCAGUUUGCUUUUAUUUUUGCAAGCUUUGUGUUUUGCUAGCAUUAAAGCCUGACGGCAGACAGCACAGUGGGAUUUGAAAUAGUACAGGGGCCCUAAUCCAAGGGAAGUUUAGAAAUAAAGUCUGCGAUGCUUUCUCAGCAACCUCUUCUUAUUGCCCCCCAUGUCCAUGUUGCUUCUGCUGGAUUUUUACUAGUAGCAACAAGAGUACACAUGAGGUUGUUUUGUGCUUUGUCACCAAUAUCUCUACGCUUCUGAUUUGCUUCCAAAUUUGAGAGUGUGAAGGGAGAUUCUAACCCCAGAAAGUCAUCAUAAGUUUUGCCUGGGGCUUUAGUAGUGCCAAGAUUUCACUUGUUCUGUGCAAGCUUUAAAUACUGGCAUCAUUUUUUCUGGUCAUAUGCAGAACUUACACUAGGAAACUAUUCACAAUGUUAAAAUCACUGAGGAUGUGUGAGCCACUUGGGAGCCUGUUGCUCUGAAGGAAAUCAAACAGAGGCUUUGUGCUUGGUCCAGGUUGCAAGUGGCCUUGUCAAAGAUCACUGAGAAGCAGGAGCUGCUUUCAUCAGCUCUUCCUGGAUGUUAAGGUGUUGGUGAAGGAGUGGAAGUACCAACACAUCUAUGUUCACUUCAGGAGCACCCCAUUAUUGGGUCACAGGGAGGAGCAAUGCACGUCUACGUAGCAGGAAACAUGAGACUACGCCCUGUUGGCACCCUGCAGGGUCCCUAACAGGGCAAGAAGGAGCCAACCUCUGCCAGGAAUCCUAAACUAAACCAGGCUCUUUGGGACCACACAGACAGCACACACAGGUGCUGUGCUGCACCACGCCAGCCUUGGUGCAAGAGUGAUAAUUCUGCAUCUGGAGGCUGGCUAGCCCUAGUCCCAUCAGCUCACCAGUACACGUGGCUUUUGGUAACUUGGGGAGGUUUCAGGUCAGAUGGGAAUAUCCCCCAAAUCCUUUCACUGUGGAACAUGGAGAGUUUUUUAAUGGUGGGUGUUUGCACAAGAAAUGCCUCACAAAUCCAGUCUUAACACAGCUGUGCAGCCGAUAUAUUCCCUUUGUUACACUAACCUGUAAAUACUUUUUAUGUGCAAUUCAGGUUACUCAUAAAUUAUUCCCUUUACAAAUCAGGCACCUAUAAAUUAUUCUCUGUAAUUGAAAAUUACCUAUGAAUUAUUCCUUUUGUUAUCCACAUAUAUGUCAUUUAUUCUCUAUUAUAUUGGCAUUACUUUCUUGGAUAGAUAAGCAUGGGGCUGACACCAACACUGUAAUUCUCAAAAGCCAAGGCAGCACCAUACAGUGUGGGAUAGUCCAACAAAGUAGAUAUGGACUUGUGUGUGGAGAGUCUGUGUUACAUAGUCCAGAAAAGGGCCUCCAGUACCAAAUGGAUUUUUGGGCUAUUUUAAGAAAUUUCAUCCUAACAUUGUAAAGAUUGUAUUUUAUAUUUAUUUGUUUAUAAAAAGAAAUAUAUAUGUUAUAUAUGGAUAAAAAUUGGUCAUUCUAAUGUCAUUUAUUUUCUAAUAAAUGUAAGUGUAAGACAUUUCUAUCUCUGCAGGCUGUGCUUGUCCUGUUUCCUUCCCCUCGGCUCUUGGAUAGUAUUUAGAGACAGACUCAUUUAACUGGGCUCUUCGGAUGUCAGAGGGACAUUAGCAGAGUCUGUUAAAACUGAUUAAUUGCUUAAGUUAGGUGCUGUACUGUAAACAAGCAGUGGUAGUGCAGAAAAUUCAUAGCCAGUCAACAGCAGUGUAAAGCCCAGAGCAAGCAGAACAAGCGUUAGCUAAUUAUCAACACAUGCCCUAGUUGCUUAAUAGCUCUUUUCUUGAGAUUUGCAAUUGGUAUCUGCUACUGCUACUCCGGGAGCACUCUCUCCUUCCCCUGUAUAACACAGAUCACAGCCUGAAAGCAAUUUUAUCAGUUUGUUUGCUGAUAUGUAAUAGAAAGAGAUUUUUCUUGAACACUCAGUGGGUGACAAAGUCUGAUGCGACGGGACACAGAGAAGACACGGAGGUGUGUGAGCUUGUAACCCUGGUGCAAAUAAAAGUUCUUGGUAUUCCAGCUCCUUCCUCAAGGAAGGGAAUGCAGUCCCUUGCAUGGAGCAAGGCGUUGCAUACUGAGUAAGCUCAGUUCC